rnacentral:rRNA from 1 species
UACGUAGGGUGCGAGCGUUGUCCGGAAUUAUUGGGCGUAAAGGGCUCGUAGGCGGUUUGUCGCGUCGGGAGUGAAAACUCAGGGCUUAACCCUGAGCCUGCUUCCGAUACGGGCAGACUAGAGGUAUGCAGGGGAGAAUGGAAUUCCUGGUGUAGCGGUGAAAUGCGCAGAUAUCAGGAGGAACACCGGUGGCGAAGGCGGCUUUCUGGUCUGUAACUGACGCUGAGGCGCGAAAGCGUGGGGAGCAAACAGG